CGGGAUAUAGCGUAGUCCGGUUAGCGCACCUCGUUUGGGACGAGGGGGUCGCAGGUUCAAAUCCUGCUAUCCCGA
rnacentral:tRNA from 2 species